UACGUAGGGGGCGAGCGUUGCCCGGAUUCAUUGGGCGUAAAGGGUGCGCAGGCGGCCAAGUGUGUCAGGUGUGAAAUCCCGAGGCUUAACCUCGGAACUGCGCCUGAAACUACUUGGCUAGAGUACUGGAGAGGGUAACGGAAUUCACGGUGUAGCAGUGAAAUGCGUAGAUAUCGUGAGGAACACCAGAGGCGAAGGCGGUUACCUGGACAGUUACUGACGCUCAGGCACGAAAGCGUGGGGAGCAAAAGGG
rnacentral:rRNA from 1 species